GGCUGGUACCAAGGUAGUGACUUAUCUCAGUUGAGUGUUCACAGGUGCAGAUCGAACUCCUUGUUCUAUUUUUUUCCCCACUUCUCACUACUGCACUUGAUUUGUCUUUA
ensembl:Y_RNA Y_RNA Y RNA